GCCUACGGGAGGCAGCAGUGGGGAAUAUUGCACAAUGGGGGAAACCCUGAUGCAGCGACGCCGCGUGAGUGAAGAAGUAAUUCGUUAUGUAAAGCUCUAUCAGCAGGGAAGAAAAUGACGGUACCUGAGUAAGAAGCCCCGGCUAACUACGUGCCAGCAGCCGCGGUAAUACGUAGGGGGCAAGCGUUAUCCGGAUUUACUGGGUGUAAAGGGAGCGCAGGCGGUCCUGCAAGUCUGGAGUGAAACGCAUGAGCUCAACUCAUGCAUGGCUUUGGAAACUGGAGGACUGGAGAGCAGGAGAGGGG
rnacentral:rRNA from 1 species